AAAAAUUUGGGCCAAGGGAUCCUUUCGAUAGUUCAUUACUAGAGAAGCAUCUCUGAAUGUGUAGAGCACCGGAAACCCUGAGGAGGAGGCGCAGCGUCCUCUCCUGAGCGGAAGCCGGCUCUUGGUGUUGCUUUACUGCAAUGGCCACUUGCCAUUGAUGAUGGUUCUUCUCUUCCUUUGGAGGAGUAAGAGGGACAGAACGCAGUCUGCGUGG
ensembl:snoRNA U3 Small nucleolar RNA U3